AUAUCACUUUAUUAGUAAUCACAAUAGAAAUUAAAUUAAAGUGUUAGGUACAUAUUAACAAACUGAUUAUUUAUUAUUUACCUACUACUUAAUUAAAGUGGAACGUGUGCCUGCGCUGAAGGGUCGAUUCACACUCACAGCGAAUCGAAGCGAAAAUGUAACAUAGCAUUGAUGACCUAAUUGAUGAUGAAAAAAGACCCCUGAUGGAAUAACAAAAACGUUAAUCAUCGUAACCGGCAGUCAAUACUGCCCCUUGAUUGGUUGAAUUCGCUGUUCACAUUUUUUCAGCCAAUCAGAGGGCAGAAUUUGCUGCCAAUUACAAUGAAUGGCACACGGACAGAUAAAGCUUUUUAUAUUUUUUAUGUAAUUUCGACGUUGGGUCAUCGACUUACAUUCUUAUUAUUAUUUGUGUAUUACAAAUUUUGAAGUAACAAUGUUCACUAACUUAUUUGUGUAAUAAGGUUCAAGGUGCAGAUGCAAAUUCACCAAACACCACGGACAAAACUUGGUAACUUCUGUUCUGGUGUUACUUGUCUAUGGUUGUUUGAAUAAAAAAUCAAAAAUAUAUAAUUAUAGUGCCAAAAAACCUUACUGUAAUACUAAAAAUAAAUAAGCUAAUAAUAACUAGCGCUAGCAUUAGGAGUAACAUAAUACUAGGCAUUUCAAUUAAAAACUGAACGUAAACAGUUUGCGCUAUGGAUUUUUUUGUAGAAUGAGAGGUAUUUUUAAGAUCUUAAGUACAAGGAACCUAAUUUUUUUGAUCGUCACUAUUUGGGCCACACUGUAUAUGGUAAUAUUUAUCUUAAACUUUGCAGGAAUGAAUUUCGAAUCUAUUACUCAAUAGUCAAUACAUUAUCACUAUGUACUAGCCUACGGAUUAAACAUUUUGAACAUUUAUCUUUUCAACUAAUUAUUUUAUCUGUGCUAAAAAAUAUAAUUCUUUAUCAUAGGUUUCAUCUUUUAGCUUUCAACAACGAAUAUUUAUUUUAAAGUUUGAUCUCGAAAUUCAAACUUCUAAUAUAAACUGGGGUAGUUUAAAAAAAUCCAUUUAAACAACUCAUUGGCAAUGUUCAAACAGAUAGCCAUAAAACAUAUCGAGACAUUCUCAAUAGAUGAAUAUUUAUCGUGCAUGCACGUCGUUUGUACAAUAAUAAUAGAUACUUAUAUAUAUAACAGUAAGUUAGGUACAGUACUAACACUUUUAUAAGUAACGCUGCUUUCAUGUACCUGCGCAGAAAUCUUAUUUCUUAAUGGCGCGAAAUUAUCUCAGCCAAUCAUAGCGCGCGUACGUCUGCUAUUUAUUGGUCGGUGGUCACGCGUCGCCGAUGCGCUCGGACGUGUCCGAUGAAAUAA